UGUGUAGGCGGUGCUCCAAGUCUGUUGUGAAAUCUCCCGGCUUAACUGGGAGGGUGCGGCGGAAACUGGGGUGCUAGAGGAUGGGAGAGGUAAGCGGAAUUCCUGGUGUAGCGGUGAAAUGCGUAGAUAUCAGGAGGAACACCUGUGGUGUAGACAGCUUACUGGACCAUUUCUGACGCUGAGACACGAAAGCGUGGGUAGCAAACA
rnacentral:rRNA from 1 species